rnacentral:misc_RNA from 1 species
GUGAAUCAUCGAAUCUUUGAACGCAAAUUGCGCUCCCUGGUAUUCCGGGGAGUAUGCCUGUUUGAGGGUCGUUAGUACAAAAAUCGAUGCGUCGCUCUUGUGUUUUAUGUGUUAUUGCGUCGGAUUAGAGUCGUCUUUCAAAUAUUAGUACAUAUCGAAUUUGCUUGUAAUUGAUGCAUACUUUACG